rnacentral:lncRNA from 1 species
AUGCUUUUGUUGGAUGUCUAUUGGUGUGAUUAUGGCUUGCUUUGAUAUAAGAUGGAAUUCUUAUCAGACUUUGUAAUAACGUGAGAUAUGUUAGGGAAUUACGAAUGGCUUGAUCCUGUCUUAGGGUACGUAGGCAGUCUGACAUAGAGGUUAGAUGCAACCAUAUGAUAAAAGAAAAAUUACUACUAUUGGCACAAUGAUUCGGGUGAAAGUGUAUGUGAUGAUGUCACGUGUGGAUCCUAGACCUAUCUUGGGAUCUGGACGUGACAAGAAGUAAUUAUGAAUUACCACUUAUGUAAUGCCAAUUUGGAACUGAUGACAAAAUUAUAGCAACCAAAUCUAAACUUGUCUUAAGAUUGUUGGGAAAAUACGAUCUAAUUGCUAUAUUAAAUCACAUAAAAAAUUAAGAAAUAAUUUAUGCAAUUAUAUAUCAAAGUAAUGCAUGCACAUGAUUAACUAAUAUUAAACGAACAUGACAUAAUGGAUUAGAAAAACCUAGAAGUACAGUCGAGGCAAGUGUUGGACACUCUGUCCUUAAGAUAAGUUUACGCCCCACUACGAUGUUCAUGGUUGGUUGACGCUUGUCACUCGGGAUACAACGACCACGUCCUUGUAAUAGUAGCACUCCAAAUCACAAGGCUCCAAAGAAUCAUGAUUGUGUUGAAUACACUCUCAUAUAGACUCAAUUAUACUAUCUAAUUUUUAGUGCAUUAUAUGUAUGAAUAUGUAUAUUGAUUUUAUGAUUAUAGGAGGCUUCCUUAUUUAUAGAUUUGAGAUAUUUUUUUGGAAAACAUGUGACCAUUUAUCAAGAGUCAAAAGUUACUAUUCAUUAUGUUAGACGUAUAUUUCCACCAAAAGACAUAACUUCUAAUUUCCAUUUAAUUAUUUAAUUUAAUAUAAUAUUAAAAGUUCCAACAAUGCUCUUAGAAAUGGGGCGCCUAUUGAGCUUAUUAUGAAUGGCCCAAAGAAUAAUAUAUUACUCUCUAAGUACCAACCAUAGACACUUAAGCCCAUUUUUAACCAAAAAGGCUAAAUAUAGCCCUGUAAUUUUUUUUUUAAAAUAAACAGUAUCAGACUAUACUUAUACACCAUCUUCAACCAACCGAAGGCGAUAAACAUAGCCCCUCAAUAAUUUAUUAGUUUUAUGUUUAUACUUUAAAUUUAUGGUUAAUUUAAUUAAACUACUUUUGAAUGUUUUCAAAUCUAACCGUUGAGUUUCAAUCAAUUAUUGCAAUUGAAGAGCUGGAUCUCAAAAAAGGUUAAGAAGAAGACCACAUUUGGCUAGCCUGAUGCCCCCUUGGCCUUUGAUUGGAGAUGAAUUUUCGACCAAAUUAGGCUAUUUUCUAACUUUUAACCUUCUAAAUGCUUAACAUUAUCUUUCCCUCGGCCCGUAUUGUUCAUCUUUUCUCCUGCUGCCAUUGAUCGAUCCACAUAGCUCAUAGUCAUGAAGCCAUCGGUGUUCAUUCCCAAUAUUUAUUCAACAAUGAGGACAUAUUAUAACCAGCAGCCCGUCCUAGUGCUCUUAUUGUGGUCUUCAUCCUCGUCUAAUGUAGGGCUUACUCACCUUUUCCGGAACCAUUGGAAGUAAGUGUUGAGUUAGUUAUUGUUUCUUGACUUAACGCGGCUGGGCCCGAGUGUAACGUCAAAUGGGAGCUGAAGCUCGUAGUCACAAACCCCAACAGCAAGCAUUGAUUUGAUCUUUACAUUUAAGAUCAUCUACAGGCCACGCUCUUCUUGUACGAUCGCUGGCUUGCGGCAGCUUUAUGGUGACUACCAAGUCAUCACCUCCUCUUUUGCUUUUAACCAGCAAGACCAACCAGACGACUACCUUAAGUUUUCAAAUGCAAACUGACCGUGCCUACUUAGGUGAAGAACUUAUCAAGGAAAUCUCCAGAAUAAUAAUCCAAGUCCACCUGAAUGUGAUGGCUCGAUAUCGGCUCAUGCCCACCACUUCAAAGCCUGAGGGAUUUCAUGUGUUGUGGCUCUCCUGCCCUGGCAUGAGGCUGUGCGAGUUCGAUUCUACCCGUAGCAGGGAAAUCGUUUGACUCUUUAUUAAAUGUGUUGGUAAAUAUAGUUGCUUGCAAUAGACGAACUGGUGUUAUGUAAUUGGAGAUAAAUUGAUUCUACUUAAUUCCAAAUUAAUCUGGUGAUGUCUUUACUUAUCGGAUUUGAUUACGCAUUACAUACAUUACUGUUGAGAAAUUCAGGAUUUGGGCUCGAUGAAGAAGAAUGUUACGUAAUCGAUUUAAUGAGAUAAAAACAUUAAAUUAGGUAAUCAAUUUAUUGAGCUCAAACCCUGCAUUUCCCAACAACAAUGUAUGUAAUGCGCAAUCAAAUCCAAUAAGAAAAGACAUCACUGGAUUAAUUUGGAAUUAAGUAGAAUCAAUUUAUCUCCAAUUACAUAACACCAGUCUGUCUACUGCAAGCAAUUACAUUUACCAACACAUUUAAUAAAGAGUUAAACGAUUUCCCUACUAAGGGUAGAAUUAGUUAAACGAUUUCCCUACUACGGGUAGAAUUGAACUUGCACAGACCCAUGUCGGGGCAGAAGAGUCGCAACAUAUGGAAUCCCUCAAGCUUCGAAGUUGUGGGCAUGAGCUGAAAUCGAGGCAUCACAUUCAAGUGGACUUGGAUUAUCCCUCUGGAGAUUUCCUCGAUGAGUUCUUCAUCGAAGUAGGCAUGAUCAGUUUGCUUUUGAAACUCAAGGUGGCCGUCUGGUUGGUCUCGCUGGUUAAAAGCAAGGGAGAAGGCAAUGACUUGGUAGUCACCAUAAAGCUGUUGCCAAACCAGUGAUCGUACAAGAAGAGUAAGGCUUGCAGACGAUCUCCAAUGUAGAGAUCGAAGCCGUACUUGCUGUUGGGGUUUGUGAGUACGAGCUCCAGCUCCCUUUGAUGGUACACACGGGCCCGGCCGUGUUGAGUUAGGAAACGGUAACUGACUCUACACUUAGUAAUUAGGUCCGAAUAUACAUGUUUGGAGGACUUAAACGUAAGAAAACAACUACUCGCAAAUAAAAUCAAUUUUCAUGCAUGGAUGAAAUUUGCGAUGGUCAUACAUUAAAGAGAUAGUCAACCUAGUGGAUCCAAUAAUUAAGUUUUAAUUAGAGAGUAAGUUGUAUCAUUGAGGGGAAUGAGUUAAAAGCCUGUAAUUGGAGUAGUCAUAGUGGAAACCCAACCUAGUUGACUGGAGAUCCCAAGAUCUAGGUUUAAAAAGGACAACUAAAUUAUGACAACUUGGAAUAGCAUUGAGGAGAUAAAUUCUCUUUCUGCCCAUGCAAGACGAGUUGGAGUAUCGCUCGGAAAACCUCUAGAAACUUGCUUGAGAGGCUAAAUAGGUUACAUGGUCUUUAAUGUAUUAAAAAGGAUGGAAUUCUAAUAACCUUUCCACUCGAUUCUUGCUACUUUUUACUUGAAUUUUCUCAUUUACCCUUUCAACUUUCUUCUUACUCAUGUUUAAUAAUCAAAACUAUGUAAUUUUUAGAUCACCAUGUAAACUUGAACUCUGCAAAAUUAACAAAAUUAGAAAUUAUUUAAGCGUCAAUUCACAUUGUCGAUAUUUUAAUUAGUUAAGUGAAGAACUCUAUUUUUAGAUGACUAAAUAAUUUUCAAUUUAGUUAUUUGUUUAUAAAUUGAUCAUUAAGAGUAACUUAAAAAUAGAUAGUUUGGAUAUUGUGCAACAUUACAAGAAAAAAGAAGAGUAAAAAAAGUAAGCUAAUUAGUUUUGACAUAUUAGCUAUCCAAAUUAUAUGUACAUUGAAGAAACAAAUUUAGAGAUUGAGGCUUAUCUAUUAGAGGUUGUGAAAACAUAGGUGGUGGACACGGUUAGAACUCAGCUAAUUAGUUUUGACAUAUUAGCUAACCAAAUUAUAUUUCUAGCUAGUUGCUCCCUAUCCAAUCAUCAAAUAGGUAAUACCAACCGAAUUGGUGUGCAAAAAGAUAAUAUAGAGAUCUGCCAAUCUCUGUCAAACACGGAGGCAUGUAUUAAUGUGGUAAUGGUACCACACAGUACUAGGGUUCGGAGGUUAUAAAACACGGCGGUGCAUUUGGUGAGUUCUUCUGUUCUUAGGAGUCAAGUAGCGGGAGCUAAGUCGGAGCUUUGCAGGUUUUGGAACUCCCGCAUACAUAUCAUCUCUGCCUCUGUGUGUGUGAUAGAGAGUUUAAGCUGUAUUUAUCAAAGCCAUGUAAAAAUAUGAAUUUUAAAGCUGCCUAUCCCUUCACGUGAAAGGCAGCAAAACCUUGCUAAUUUCUUGAUAAUUUUUGUUUGGGAGAAAGGGAAGCUAGAAAGCGUUUAGCAAUUAGAGCUAAACGGAGAGAAAGGCUUUGCCUCUCUACCUGAGGAGUCGGAGAAGGUGGUGGCCUUGGAUGGAGUGAGUGCAUUCGUUGAUAGAGAGAGGGCUUAAUAUGCCAGAUACUGAGGAGAGGAGGUUGACUAUUGAGUCUGGACAAAAUUAUAGCAAGACAAAUUUUCAGCUACUACCUUAGUACAUGUACUAUGGAAAGGAUCCCUUCCACCUAAUUCUCCUCAUUAAACAAUCCAGACUCUUGAAAUUUGAUCAAACGGCUAAAGUUAUUAUAACUUUUAGAGUGGAUCCCUGUUUGUAGCCGUUUGAUUAAAUUUCAAGGGUCCGAAUUGUUUGAUGAGGAGGAUUAGGUAGAAGGGAUCCGAAGAGAAUCUCUUUCCAUAGUAUAGGUAAUGGUAGCUUAAAAUUUGUCUUGCUAUAAUUUUGUAAAUUUGUCUUGCUAUAAUUUUGUCUAGACUCAAUAGGCAACCUCCUCUCCUCAGUAUCUAGCAUAUUAAGCCUCUCUCUCUUUCUCCCUCUCCCUCUACAUCUAAGGCCACCACCUUCUCUGAUUCCUCAGGUACAAAGGCAAAGUCUUUCUCUCCGUUUAGGUCUAAGUUGCUUGCUUACCUUUAGAACACGUAUUCAUUUAUCUUCUUCUUUUUUUCAAGGUUUUACUUUCACACACGGCAGCCACCGCCAUCUCCGAUUCCGUCUUCGACUCCUCAGGUACAUAGUAAAUGUGUUUAUUGUUCAUCGUUUGAUUCUUUAUGUUUGGACCCAAUGAUUUAUAUUAUCAGCACAAAAUCAUGUAAUGGUUUACUCAAACUUGUUUUCUGGGUCCUCGGCAUCUUCGGGUUAUAUAUAUAUAUAUGGAUGAGUUUGAUUGAAUAUUUUCUCAAUUUAUUUAUGGGUGUGUAAGUUAGAGACUCGGCACAAAAGUUCAUCCCCAAAUUCAAACUCUAUUUUUUUUUUUUAAAGUAUUAGUACAUGUUUUUUUUUAAUUAAAUAUAUAAAAGUGAGAGGCAGAAGGCAGUCUGUAGGCUUGUAAUUUUCAAUUAAAUAUAUAAAGUGCAAGGUAGAAGGUAGGCAAAAAAUGCUUUUGUUUCUCAGCCACACGCAUCCACGACACCCUGUAGGCGGUGGAGGCCACCUAGGGAGGAAAAGAAACAACCCUUUUUUUCUUUUGGUUUUUUAUCAUUCUUUGUUGUAUCGUUAUGUACUUGCUAGGUAUUUCAUGGAUAACCAAGGACAUGGUAAUCCGGCAGCCGAUGCCACAACCAAACGAUGGUAGAUGGGCUCGGUGCGUGCUGUGGUACUGUUUCUUGCAUUCACAUUUGGGCUGAUUGUUCACUUUAAUAAGGCUAAGGGUACUAUUAAGAAGGGAUACUGGGACUACAUAGUGUCUAUAUUUAACUGUUGCAACAUAACAACAGUAGGAUAUGAAGACUACGUUCCCAAUAAGGGUACCUCAAAGUGGUUCACAGUAUUAGUCACAAUGGUUCUGGCAAAUCCAAGUAUGUUUACCAUCCAUACAAUCAUAGGUAAGCUCGUAUCUUGGAUUGUUUCCAAGAGUAGAUUUUAUCAAAGGCCUAGGCAGCAUCAGAUCGGUUCAUCAACAUUUUGUAUGUUUCUCCUAGUGUUAAUCAUAGGGCUUGCAGUAAUACACCUAUGGGAGGUGAAGCAAACGACUUCGGAUAACAAUAAUACAAAAAAUAUGAAUUAUGCAAAGUUAUAUUACUUUAACGUUAUAUCGUUGAUUAUGAUUGGGUACAACGAUUUUGCAUUCAAGUCUACCAGUGGACAACUUUUCGCUUCGUUUUAUCUGCUAAUUGGACCACUGCUAGUCGUCUGAUAUUUGGACUUCGUAGUUGGCUCUUUUCUCCAAUAGUGGACGGAGUAAUUAAAUUUACUUUAUUUUUGUAUACCUUAUGUUAUGUUUGUGUGAAUCUUUGAAGUAAAGUUUAUAAUUUUUCUUGAUAUGUAGACCAAAUUUAGAACAGUUAUAUGACACCAGGGCAACUAUAAUAGUUGAUCAAGCUCUUCCCUAGCAUCGUAUAACUGGUGUUCUAAGUUUGAUCUGUAUAUCAAGAAAAAUAAUAAACUUUACUUCAAACAGUCACAAAAACAUAACAUAAGGUAUAUGUAAAUAAAGUAAAUUUAAUUACUUUGUCCACUGUCCAAGAAAAGAGCCAAGUAGGAAGUCCAAAUAUCGGACAACCAGCAGUGGUCCAAUUAGCAGAUGAAACGAAGCUAAAAGCUGUCCACUGGUACACUUGAACGCAAAAUCGAUGUACCCAACCGUCAUCAACGAUAUAACAUUAAAGUAAUAUACGUCUAUAUAAUUCAUAUUUUUUGUAUUCUUGUUAUCCGGAGUUGUCUACUUCGCCUCCAAUAGGUGUAUUACUAUAGGCCCUAUGAUUACCACGAGGAGAAACAUACAAAAUGUUGCCGAACCGAUUUGAUGAUGCCUAGGCCUCUGAUAAAAUCUACUCUUGGAAACAAUCCAAGAUAUGAGCUUACCUAUGAUUUUAUCGAUGGUACACAUACUUGUAUUUGCCAAAACCACUAUGACUAAUAUUGUGAACCACUUCGAUGUACCCGUGUUGGGAACGUAGUCUCCAUAUCCUACAAUUGUUAUAGUAACAACCGUAAAAUAUAGAGCCUCUACGAAACCCUAGAAUCCCUUCUUAACACUACCCUCAGCCUGAUUAAGGUGAACACUCAUCCCAAAUAUGCAUGCAAGAACCAGUACCAUAGCACACACCACAGUUCUGCUGUGGCAUCGGCUACCAGAUUACCGCAUCGUUGGUUAUCCAUGAAAAACCUAGUAAGACAUCACGAUACAAUAGAAUGAUCAACAACCAAAAGAAAAAAGGGUUGUUUCUUUUCCUCCCUAGGUUGGCCUCUACCGGAAUGUGGUUGAUGCAUGUGGAGGUAUGGCUGAGAAACAAAAGCAUUUUUCGCCUACGCACUGCCUUCUGCCUUUCAAUUUUACAUAUUUUUUUUAGGAAAACUAAUGAAAAGGGCUUGAAAACUUUGAGUUUUAAUGAUAAGGACAAAAUAAAGGGUAAAGUGAAUAAUACCAGGAUUGACUUUUUAGUGUAAAAAUGUGGUUUUUCGUUAAAGUGAACAGUACCGGGUGCUUUUCGUUAAAGUUCCCUUUUUUUUUUUGUUUACAAACUAGCAGUUACUAGUCUCGUAUGGAAGUUGAUUUCUGUAGGUUGAAUUGGAAAUGUUGGCAUUGCAAUGCUGGGGUUUGUUGUUCUUUUGUUGAAUGAGUAGGUUUCAAUAAUCUCGAAAGGGAGAUGUGUGUGACUGGAAUUGGAAAUGUUGCAUUGCAAUCCUGUUUGUUGUUUUUUUGUUGAAUGACUAGUUUUUAUUUGUUUAUUUCCGUUCGACUUUUCUGCAGAAAAUAAGUCGAUCAGAUUCAGGAACUAAAUGACAGCUCUUUCUGGAACUAAAAGUGAUCUAAUUGAGAAUGAUGUCUCACUCUUUCUGUGGGUUGUUUUGGAAGUGUUGGCAUUGUAAUGCUGCGGUUUGUUGCUCUUUUGUUGAAUGAGUAGGUUUUACUAGUCUCGUAUGGGAAUUGCUUCGUGUGACUUGAGUUGGAAAUGUUGCUUUUGCUAUCCUGGUUGUUGUUCUUUUGUCAAAUGACUACCAACUGCGUCCAAGGAUUAGGAACAAUUUGUGUCUUUACAUUGCUACUAGUGUUGUCCUAGCCAGGAAGCACUGUUAAUAGACUCUUGAAUAGUUGAUCAUGUUCAUACUAUUGCAUCUGACUUUCAGUCAUACGGAUAGGAGGAUACUGUGUUUAACCUAUAUUUUUAUACACUAAGCACAAUUGCUUUCGGUGAACUUCUUGGCUUCAAGAUAGAACUCGUUAACAUAGGGUAUAUUUAGAAAAAAUAUAUUUCCUGAAAAUUUAGUCAUAAAUAUAAAUAUACCCUAUGUAAUAUUUCUAAAAAUAUAUAUUUAGAAAAAAAAAUUAUUAUUCAAAUAAUUAAUACCAUUUAUUAAAACUUAAAAACUUUGAUAAAAAAAUUGAAAAGGAGUAAGAUUUUAAUUAAUAACAAAGGAUGGGAACCUAACUUCUACAUAUAUAUAUAUAUAUAUAUAUAUAUAUAUAUAUUUAUCCGAAAAGGCCGAAGAUGCCGACUACCCACCCAGAAAACAAGUUUGAGUAAACCAUUACAGUAUUUUGUGUUGAAAUUAUAAAUCAUUGGACCCAAACAUAAAGAAUCAAACUCGAAAAAAUAAAAAUAAAACAUCCAACUCUGUGUUCGUAAUAUUAAUCAUUAAGGAAAGUAAACAAGUUAGAGAAAACCAUUAAAUAAUUUUGUUCAUCUUGAAGUGGUGCAUCCAUAUUGCAAACUCAAAAUCACUCAAGGCUUAUAAAACUGACCAUCUAUUAAGCAAGCAAACGAUGAACGAGAAACAAUAAACAGAUUUACUAUGUACCUGAGCAGUCGAAGACGGAGACGGAGUCGGAGUUGGGAGACGGAGUCCAAGACGGAAUCGAAGAUGGUGGCGGCUGCCGUUUAUGAAAGUAAAACCUUGAAACAAAAAAGAUAAAUGAGCACAUGUUUUAAAGGUAAGCAAACUUUUGAGCUAAAAACGAGAAGAAGGCUUUUGCCUUUGUACCUGACGAGUCGGAGAAGGUGGUGGCUUAGGUGGAGUGAGUGCGUUCGUCGAUAGAGAGAGAGCUUAAUAUGUGAGAUACUGAGGAGAGGAGGCUGCCAAUCUCGACAAAAUUAUAACAAGAUAAAUUUUAGGCUACACUACCUAGCUAGUACCUACACUAUAAUGAAAAACAACUGAUGUUUUUCCAUAACUGUAAACAGAUAGGGAGAUGUAGGUUGUCGCGAUUGGUUGAAAAUCUUAUCGGAAAUUUAUCCACAAAUUAGUACUUUUGGAUAAUGAUACAUGUCGUAACAAAAUUGGUUGAAAAUCUUAUCGGAAAUCUAUCUACAAAUUAAUAUUUUCGGAUAAUGCCAUGUGUCGUGACAAGAUUGGUUGAAAAUUUUAUCAAUCAAAAUCUUGGCUAAAAGAUUGUAAACAGAUAGUGACACAUGGCGCGUCAUGAUUGGUUGAAAAUCUUAUUGUAAAUAUAUCUACAAAAUGCUACUUUCGGAUAAUGAUAUGUGACAUGACAAUAUUGAUUAAAAAACGAAAUUAAAACUCUUUUUUUUUUCUAUAAAAAUAAUAAUAAUAUUUUAAUACGAAUUGACUAAAUUUUGUACCAGCAUAUUUUUUAGAAAUGAGGAUGCAUUUGGUUAAUUAUUAUUCAUUAGGAUCAAUUACCAUUCAUUUAAAUGAAUUCAAAGGAUUGGGUGUCAUCGCAUUUUUAUGGAUGUGACCAUCCAAGGCCAAACUCCCCCAUACAAAAAUGAAAAACAACUGAUGUUUUUCCAGGUUCGUAUGAACCGGCGGUCCUUUCGUGUCCUCCAUGCAUGAACCUUUAUUAACCACACAAAAGAAAGGUUGGCCGCUUAUAAUUGUAGUGCAACUUUAAGGGUAUAUAUGUCAAUCUGAUAUGUGGUGAAAUUCAAAAAAAUAAAAAAGGAAAGAAGAGGGAAAGAAAAUGUUAUUUAGCUUUGAUGAAUGAAUGUGAUAGCAGCAAGGACGAUCGAAUCCCAAAUGUGUAAGACCAACAUGGAGGAUUCGUUGCUAAUUCAUCCAUAGUACGAUUGAAUGCACAUAAUCAGGUAUCGUUUGAUAUGCAGACGAGACGAGAUGGAAAAGAAUGGGACGGGACGGGACAGGAUGGAACGGGGAUGGAACGGAAUGAGAUUGGACGGGACGGGACGAAACGAAGAGAGAGCAAAGAAGCCCUCAGAUGGAAACAAGGAGGAAGAAGAAGGAGACGAAGAGGUUAUAAUUUUGUGUUCCACGGAUGUGGAACGAGUCGUUCCAGGAGGUAAGGCGAAACGAAAAUUCACCCAAAAUUCGUCCCGUGAAACAGCGCGUUCCACCUGUUUUAGGCGCACCAAACGUGGGAUGGAACGUCUCAUCCCACUUCGUUCCGUCCCGUCCCACGUACCAAACAGUACCUCAUCGAAUUCGUCCGUUUUUCUCCAUUUUGGUUUAAGCCUUCAAGUACAAAGCAACGACAACUUUUUUUAAAAUUCUAUCGUACUCCGGUGUGAGCAUGGUAUUGGAAAAAGCCUAGAUACAACUCUAACACAAGUGUUGUAGAGACAACAUAAGUAAACAAAUUACUUGUAUUACACACACAAAAUAUUACAACACACAAACUCUCAAGGACACUCUUUAGAAGUUAUGACACUCACUCUUUCUAGAGACACACUCUAGACCACUCACACUCCUACAAGACUACUCUUGCUUCUCACUCUCACUUGAUUGCCUACUUGCUUUUUGGCUACUUGAUUGAUUACUUUCUUCUUAAUUGAUUUAUUGUUGAUACAAAUGGUAUGGAUGCCUUCUCCUUUUAUAGGCAUGGAUGGAACCUUGAAGAAGCAUGGAAACAUCAUGCUAGAGAUAUUUAGAUAAUUCCACUACCUUCCUAAGCUAGAAUUAUCUACACUAAUCUUGCACGUUGGUAGAAACCACCAUUCUUCUAGAUUCUUCCACCAACUUAAGAAACAACCUUCUAGUCCUUUCUACAAAUGACUACUUUAACUUCGAUAAUCUAGCUAACCAAGUUUAGUGAAUGUUCUACAAUUCUUUAUUCUAGAUUUGUGUAGGUCUUUCAAUGAGAUGGGAUUGAUUUCUUUAACACUCCCUCUCAACACCAUCUCAUUCUUCUCUCUACGUUGGGUUGACAACGCUUUAUCUUGAACACUCAUUUGCAUGAUAUGGGUUUCGCAUCUCUUGGCCUUGCUAUUGGAUCCCAAGGUUGAUUUUUCUUUAGCACAACAUCCUCUUCGCCCAGAUGUAUGCCACUCGGACUUAUGUGAUGCUUCUUUAUGCAUCUCAGCUUCAACUUCUUCUACUAUAGUUGAGUUGGCAUAUUUGGGAUUUGGCUUCAGUAUUCUUGUUGACCUCUUUAGUUGUGAUCGUGGAGUUGAUACUUCCACUUCACUAAGUCUAAAUUCUCUUGGUGGUUGAUACACACCAGUUUGCCAAGGACUCUUAGGUAUUUCUUGCUUGACAUCAUCUCUAGCAAGCAAAUCUUAAGGUUCAUCUGGACUCGAUUGGACUUGGGCAGCUUGGUCUCCCAUUUUCUCCUGCAACAUGUCUUCAAUCUCUCUUGAGUCAGGCAACACUUCAUUUUCUGAGCACCACCAAGAAGAUGCGUCAGCGUCCCACUCUCCCUCCAUAGCUAGAUAUGUUACGGCGUCCUAAUCAUCUUCAUUUUUCUUUUCUAAGUUGGCGACGUUACUUUCUGCAGGCUUUUUGAACCAACAAUCAUUCGCCAUAUGACCUUUCUUUCCAUAAUUGUAGCACUUGCCCUCAAAUCUUUUAUUAUUUUGGGACUAACCACGGUUGCCGUGAUACUUUGGAGCUCCCCCUGGUUGAGAACUCCCUCCUCUUUGAUGACCUUUUUCCUUGUCACCACUUCUUUUAGAUCCACCACCAACAUGCUGCUUAACGCUGCCUUUACUUUUGGUGUAGAGCGUUUCCUCGUUACCUCUUAACAAGACCCCUCCCAUUUGCUUUGUCAAAGCUUCUUAAUCGACAAGUAAAUUCGCAAUCUCAACAAGUGAUGGUUGGGUCGGCCAUCCUUGUACAACGACAUCGAAGACUCAAUAUUCGGGUCUCAAUCCAUGGAUAAUUAUUCUUUUUAUCCUAGAUUCUACAAUGGCAACACUAGGAUCUAACUCAGAAAUUUCACGGCAAAUAGACUUUACCUUGUGGAAAUAUUAGGCAAUCGUCAUGUCUCGUUGGGCCAACGAUAACAACUCGUUCUCGAAAGCUGCAGUCUUGUAUCAUUCCUCUUUGAAAAGAGUGUGGCGAAGGUGUCCCACACUUCUUUUGGUGUCUUGGCCUUUCGUAUGUGCUCCAACAUAUCCUCUUCAACUGUGGUUUUUAAGGCAAACAUGGCCUUACCUGCCUUGAUCUUCCAUUUUCCUCAAAGUGACGCUGGUGUCUUCUUCCGGCUGCGUAACUUCAUUACCACCAAUGACAUCCUAAAGAUCUUGGCCUUGUAGGUAAGAUUCCUUACAUGUUGCCCAUGUGUUGUAAUUUUUGUUGUUCAACUUCUUGAUUGCUUCAACAACUUGAAGAUCUCCCAUCGUGUCGACAGAGCUUCAAUAAGCCGAACAAGACUAGUCAACAAUGUUGCGAAGUACUAAACUUCUCACGAUUCUCGGAAGCUUCACUAAAGACGGUCCUUGAUCAUACCACUCUGAUACCAAUUGUUGGAAAGAAAAAAAACUAGAGUACACAACUCUAACACAAGUGUUGGAGCUUGUAUUACACACAUAAAAUAUUACAACACAUAAACUUUCAAGGACACUCUUUAGAAGCUAUGACACUCACUCUUUCUAGAGACACACUCUACACCACUCACACUCCUACAAGACUACUCUUGCUUCUUAUUCUCACUUGAUUGCCUACUUGCUUUUUGGCUACUUGAUUGAUUACUUUCUUCUUAAUUGAUUUAUUGUUGAUACAAAUGGUGAGGAUGCCUUCUCCUUUUAUAGGUAUGGUUGGAACCUUGGAGAAGCAUGGAACCAUCAUGCGAGAGAUAUCUAGAUAAUUACACUACCUUCCUAAGCUAGAAUUAUCUACACUAAUCUUGCAUGUUGGUGGAAACCUCACCAUUCUUCUAGACUCUUCCACCAACUUAAGAAACAACCUUCUAGUCCUUUCUACAAAUGACUACCUUAACUUGUGUAGGUCUUUCUACAAAUGUUUUAGAAUUCUUUAUUCUAGAUUUGUGUAGGUCUUUCAAUGAGAUGGGGUUGAUUUCUUUAACACAUGGUAUGCAGCGGACAUACAAUAUUGAGGGUCAAAGAUAUUAUUUUAUUUUAUUUUUGCAAUACGGACACUCGAAAACUCUGGUGCAUUAUAGACAAGCCCCAAGUUUCAUAUUGGGUUCCAAUAUCGUGAUCAUUUUUAUUGGUGACACAUCAUUUAGCUAACAAAUUAUGUCUCCUAGCAUUACCUUUUUUGAUAAAUUUAUAGAUACUAUAAACUACUUUAAUUAGCAACUAGAACAAGUUUAAACUUGAGUGCGAGAGAACAAAGAUAUAUCGUCUAGAUCAAUUAGUCGUAGUCCGCAUGUGUCAUUUUUGGCUCUAUAAACUUUUGAAAUGUCUUUUUGUAUAUUUAUGUUUGCCUUACGAACCACCAACUAAAUUAUCAUGGAUACCAUUGUUUUUUUUAUUAUUAGAGAAAAGACAAAACAACAGUUCUAGUCCUUCCCUUACGAACCAGGAUCCUCUCCUGAGCAGUUCCCUAAGGAUCCCGCAAUCUUGUCCGUUCAUUUUAUAUCGUGCGGUCAGUUUUCGUUAAGUAUUAUUCAUAUUUGAAUUUUAAAUUUUAAAUUUUAAAUAAUUUAUGACCGCACGAUAUACAAUGAACGGACAUAAUUGCGGGAUCCCUAGGAUCCCUAGGGAACUGCUCAAGAGAGGAUCCUUGUCCUUCCCUUACCCUCUACCCCUUAUGCUGCCUUCUCUUCUGUUCCUGCCCAUCACAGAAGGAAAAAUAGAAAACGCUUUCUAGCUUCCCUUUCUCCCAAACAAAAAUUAUCAAAGAAAUUAGCAAGUUUUUGCUGCUUUUCACGUGAAGGUGAAGGCAUAUUUAAAUUCAUAUUUUUACAUGGCUUUGAUAAAUAUAGCUGAAACUCUCUAUCACACUGUUUGGACCCAAAAUAACGUUUUUGGGCCGAGUCUAUAAUUACUUUCGGUCCAGUAAAAACAUCAAGAAUAUUCUUACCAAGGGCCUGGCCCUGUAGAAUUCGGCUGAAUCUUAUUAGGAAGUUGUUUCAUUUAGAUAAGGAAGAGUGGCCGAAUCCUAGUAUAACAAGGAAGGAAUCCUCAGAGGCUAAUUCUGUUUUGAAUAAGAAAAGAUGCUGAGAGAUUUAAUAACUGAAUCUAGGUGAUAAAAGAGCUUGAUUCGAAGCCCUACAUGAACCAGGAUUGGCCGAGACCUAUUCGGAUUUGGUUGAAGAAUUCUAGUUCGAAUAGAACUCUACCUUGGCCAUGAGGAAAUUGUUACUAUAAAUAGAGAUGGGUGUGCAUCAUUCAAGCCCCUCCAAUCAACACAUAAAACUGUCCUGUGCAAGCUCUCACUCUACGCGAAACCUCUCAAACAUCUUGAGAUUUUUAUUUUCUUUUUUCUAGUCAGGACAUCUUCAGUUUGAAUAAACAACAAUGUGGUAGCAACCAACAACAUCUUUAGUGUGGAUAAACAACUCUGGAGCCAAAGAAUUAGUUGACCAAGGUGCUUCAGUUUGGAUAAACAACACUGCUUCGAGACCGACUGAUUAUCUAUCCAAGUAUCGAUCAACAAGAAUUUCCGAGUCCUUAUUGGAAGAGGUCAUCUUAUUAGCCUUCUCGAAGAAGUGAGGUGUUAUCAAGUUACUUAAUAUUCGGCACACUAAAAGCUGAAUUUGAUAUUGAACUUUGCAAAACUAGCAGUCUUGUCUUCAGGCUCUAGAACCCGAAGGCCGAGUAGUGUUUCUUCCUUGGCCGCAGCUAUAAGAUUGAGAAGUCAGCAUGUCCAACGCCACAUAAAUAUUGAGAAGUCAGCAUGUCCAACGCCACAUAAAUAUUCAUUUUACUCCCCAACAGAGCUUGGCCGACGAGUUAGCACAUCCCGCAUUCAACCAAACGACGUAGUUAGUUUAUUAGCUAUUCGGCCUAAGCACCACUUAGGCUAAGUAGUUUUUAAGAUCAACACAUACACAGAAGUAGAGAAGAUAUGAAUGAGUUCCAAAACUUGCAAAGCUCCGACUUAGCUCCCGCAACUUGACUUCUAAGACAACCAGGAUAACAGAAGAACCCACCAAAUACACCUCGAUUAAUUGAAGCCCAAUUUCCUUGGCACCGUGUUUUACAAUCUGCAUGCCCCGAUUAUUUAAUUACAUGCGAAUACUGUGUGAUACCAUUACCACAUUAAUACGUGCCUCCGUGUUUAACAGAGAUUGACCAAUCUUUAUAUUUUUCUUUUUACAACGUUUAACAGUCGCACACCAAUUUGGUUGGAAUUACCUAUCAAAUUAUUGGAUAGGGAGCAACUAGAAAUAUAAUUUGGUUAGCUAAUAUGUCAAAGCUAAUUGGCUUGGUUCUAACCGGGUCCACCACCUAUGUUUCCCCUUGGAUCCUCUCCUGAGCCCAAGGAUCUAACGGCUACAAACACGGGAGUCUCUUUAAAGUUAUAAUAAUUAUAGUCGUUGAAUUUUCAUUCAACAGCCCACAAUUCUUGGUCAGGAGGAUCCUCUCCUUGGGCUUAGGAGAUGAUCCAAAUCCCUCUAAUAGAUAAACCUCAAUCUAUAAAUUUGUUUCUUCAAUGUAUAAAAUGUGGGAAAAGACUUGGCUGCUAAAAGAUCCAGCAGCACCUCCUGCUGCCAACCAAUCACGGUUGGACACGUGUCCAAGUUGUGAUUAAAAAAUUCACAACUUGGAUACGUGUCCAGCCGUGAUUGGUUGGCAGCAAGAGGUGCUGGUGAAUCUUCAGCAGCCAAGUCUCGUUCUAAAAUGUGAGGUUCAUAAGCUCUGGGGAAUAAAUAAAAGAAGAACCAAUACAAGCAACUUGAUUAGGAGGUAGCAUGUCCAUCAUCAUUUUCUCACGUGAGUCCUCUCUAUGACUACAAUUAGAAUUCGAACUUUUUUUUUUCUACAGAAGAAUAUGGAAAUUUGGAUAAUAGGCAAGUAAAACAUAGGAAACUUAAAAACCACCUCAGAUACUAGUCUCUUCCUUGUAGUAAGAAUUUGAUAGUUCUCCAGUAAGUUCUGCGUGCUUUCUCCUGCACGCAUAUUGGAUUCUCUUUAGUAAAAGAAAUAUCGGGAAAUGUAGCAUAUUAUUGCUAAUUCAUUGUGAGACUAAGCAUCUAUCUCUUGUAUCCAAAUAUGCGACUAAAAAGCCAUUUGGUACUACCGUCUCUAGUAGUAUUUCUUUUCAUUUGUAAGUGAAAAGUUAUAGGUUCAAUUCUCGCCAAAGGCGAAUUUGAACCACAUUAUUGCUAGCUCAUUAUGAGGUUAAACCCAACCUCCUCCGUCUUAGUAUAGAAAAUAUCACUGGUUCAGAAAGAAAGAAAAAAAGUGUGACUAAAGAAUACACCGAUAAAAAUUUGGUCACCCAACACAGGUUUCGUUUCCCUUUCAUAAAAAAGCAAAAUUUUUUGUUCUGUUAAAUUUGACCACCCUUGAAAUAUUUAGAAAAUAGGAUUAUUUGGUCAACCAGUAGUAAACUAACCACUUGGUCCAAAUUUAGCACUACAUUCUGGAAAAACUAAUCUUUUAUAGUAACGUUUUUUGUUUGGACUUUCUUAUUCUACUUUUUUUUAUUAUUCUUUUAUCUUGUAAUGUUGCAUAAACUAUCUAUUUUUAGGAUACUCUUAUUGAUCAUCUUUAUGAAAAGAUCUAACUAAAUUAGAAAUUGUUUAGUCACCUAAAGAUUACUUAUAAAAUAGACAAAACCAUGUUUCUCACUUAACUAAAAUUUCGACAAUAUGAACCGACGGUCAAGUUAUUUUUAUUUUGAUUGAUUUUUGUAGAGUUGAAGGUUACUUAUUUAUCUAAAAAUUACAUAGUUCCUAGCAUCAAGCACAAUUAAAAAGAAAGCUGAAAAAGUAAACGAGAAAAUUCAAGUGAAAAGUAAUGAGAAAAUUCGAAUGAAAAGGUUAUUAAAAUUCCAUCUUUCUUUAAUACAUCAAAGACCUUGUAACCUAUUUAGCCACUCAAGCAAGUUUCUAAGGUUUUUCGAGCGAUACUCCAACUCGUCUUACAUUGUUAAAUUCUAAACUCAUUACUCCAACUCGUCUUGCAUGGUUAAAUUCAAAACUAUAAAAACUCAGUAAUCAGUAAUAUGUCUAAAAUUUAGAUACUUUAAAAAUAAUAAUAAAAAAUUUCAAUCAAGAGACGUAUGAUAGGAUAUCAAUUGGUGGCUACACUUAUACAUUUCAUGACGCGAACAUACACGAAGCAGUAAGGGCAAAGAAAAGUAGAUUAAUGAAAGAAAAACUAUCAAAGAUUGUGAAGGUUCGUAAAAAAAAGCUUAAAAAGUUCAUCUCGAGGACAAAUUUUUCCCGUUCCUUGUAUCUAGCAGCUAGCGAUCUAUUAAUAGUAUGUUUGAUAAAGAUGAUUGACU